rnacentral:rRNA from 1 species
AACGAACGCUGGCGGCAUGCCUAACACAUGCAAGUCGAACGAGACCUUCGGGUCUAGUGGCUCACGGGUGCGUAACGCGUGGGAACCUGCCCUUAGGUUCGGAAUAACUCCCCGAAGGGGGUGCUAAUACCGGAUAAUGUCUUCGGACCAAAGAUUUAUCGCCUUUGGAUGGGCCCGCGUUGGAUUAGCUAGUUGGUAGGGUAAAAGCCUACCAAGGCGACGAUCCAUAGCUGGUCUGAGAGGAUGAUCAGCCACACUGGGACUGAGACACGGCCCAGACUCCUACGGGAGGCAGCAGUGGGGAAUAUUGGACAAUGGGCGAAAGCCUGAUCCAGCAAUGCCGCGUGAGUGAUGAAGGCCUUAGGGUUGUAAAGCUCUUUUACCCGGGAUGAUAAUGACAGUACCGGGAGAAUAAGCUCCGGCUAACUCCGUG